rnacentral:rRNA from 1 species
UACGGGAGGCAGCAGUGGGGAAUAUUGCACAAUGGGCGCAAGCCUGAUGCAGCCAUGCCGCGUGUAUGAAGAAGGCCUUCGGGUUGUAAAGUACUUUCAGUCGUGAGGAAGGUGUUAAGGUUAAUAACCUUAGCAAUUGACGUUAGCGACAGAAGAAGCACCGGCUAACUCCGUGCCAGCAGCCGCGGUAAUCGGAGGGUGCGAGCGUUAAUCGGAAUUACUGGGCGUAAAGGGCACGCAGGCGGUUAAUUAAGUUGGAUGUGAAAUCCCCGGGCUUAACCUGGGAAUGGCAUUCAAGACUGGUUAGCUAGAGUCUUGUAGAGGGGGUAGGAAUUCCAUGUGUAGCGGUGAAAUGCGUAGAGAUGUGGAGGAAUACCGGUGGCGAAGGCGGCCCCUGGCAAAGGACUGACGCUCAUGUGCGAAAGCGUGGGGAGCAAACAGGGAUUAGAUACC